ensembl:ncRNA F28F9.9 ncRNA
AACAGUACCACCCAUAAAUAUUCAUAAAACUAGGAGCAGGUGUCGAAUUAGGCAAAUUUGAUGAGACGUGGGGCGAGGGGGCACAUGGUAGGGAAGCCUCAUUUACAACCUGCCUCAAGCAACGAGAGACAGGGAGGAGUGGAUGGGGGGAUGAGGGAGACGUGAAAUUGAUGAAUUGAUAUUUUGAAAGAAGUGAGUGAGCCCCCAAGCUGGUU